UGGCAUCCUUAAACCCUCUUGGUAGCUUAGCUCUCAGUGCUUCCAAGAGAUGAAUGGAUGCUAUAGAAACUGCAGGGGAGUCCAAAAGGCUGUAUUUCUCCUGUGGUUCAGUCUUAUUUCAUACCUGUAACAGCU